CUCUAACUGUUUCUUAGUUGAGGAUAGUUUAAUUAAGAAAUUUGGUAACAUAUAUGUGAAGAAAGCCAUUUAUGCUUGCUGGUAUAAUAGAUCAGAAGAAACUCGUAUUGUGAUAUUUAUGGUGAUUUCAAUCUUGAAGCAAUGUAUGGGUAUAUUCUUAAUUUUUACCAGCCGUUGUAUACUUAUGCUGCAGUACUAUGAUGUAGUAUCAGAAGAAAGUGAGGGAAGCCGUUGCUAUGAUUUUUCAAACACAGACAAAUUCCUAAACAGCUGAACCAAAAAUCUGGAUCAGAUUCACUAAGCGAUGGGAAAUUCAUUUUGUCGGUGGAUUGGAUGAGGAAUCUUGAAGUUGGUGUAUUCCAGCCCUUCUCGAGGAUGGAAUCAAUUUGCAUGUUUAUGCGGGAACUAUGAUCUUAGGUAACUCGAGAUGGGUUCAUGCCAUGGAAUGGUCUGGUCAGAAAGAAUUUGCAACUUCACUUGAAGUUCCUUUUGUUGUUGAUGGAUCAGAAGCCGGAUUAUUGAAGAGGUAUGGACCUCUAACUUUCCUUAAGGUCCAUGAUGCGGGUCACAUGGUUCCAAUGGACCAGCCCAAGACUGCAUUAGAGAUGCUGAAGAAGUGAACUAAGGGAAUCCUUGCUGAAUCUGGAGCUGAUAAGGAAAAAUUGAUUGCUGAGAUGUGAUCUCUUUUAUUACUUAUUUAAUUAGUAUAGAAAAAGGAAACAUAAUUGAUAAAAGAAAUUGCAGUGAAGUUUGACCAUUAGGUAGUUUGUUGGAUGUGAUACUACUCCCAAACUCCCACUAUUUCUGAAGUGACAGUGUACUCAGAAUUACUAUCAUGGAAGAAAACUACUAUUCAAAAGAAAUUCCGUAUUUUCUGCUUUAGAUGCUUACUUUUGUUUCAUGUAAGAUCAGAUUUCUGUGUGUAGUGUGUACUUCUGAAUUAGAAUUCUUAUUUAUUGAUCA